CCCUUAGAGUUUGAUCCUGGCUCAGGACGAACGCUAGCGGCGUGCCUAAGGUAUGCAAGUCGAACGGGGGCUUCGGCCCUAGUGGCGAACGGUCGAGUAACACGUAGACAACCUGCCCUCAAGUGGGGGAUAACAGCGGGAAACUGCUGCUAAUACCGCAUGUGGUCCCGGCCGGCAUCGGCGGGGUACUAAAGGUUUACUGCUUGAGGAUGGGUCUGCGGCCUAUCAGGUAGUUGGUGGGGUAACGGCCUACCAAGCCGACGACGGGUAGCGGGUCUGAGAGGAUGAUCCGCCGGACGGGGACUGAGACACGGCCCCGACUCCUUCGGGAGGCAGCAAUGAGGAAUAUUGCACAAUGGGCGAAAGCCUGAUGCAGCGACGCCGCGUGGGUGAGGAAGUUCUUCGGAAUGUAAAGCCCUUUUAUCGGGGAAGAUCACAGACGGUACCCGGUGAAUAAGCCCCGGCUAACUACGUGCCAGCAGCCGCGGUAAUACGUAGGGGGCAAGCGUUGUCCGGAUUUACUGGGCGUAAAGAGCGCGUAGGCGGACGUUUAAGUGUGGCCUGAAAGCCCCCGGCUCAACCGGGGAUGCGGGUUGCAAACUGGGCGUCUUGAGGGGGAUAGGGGAAGGUGGAAUUCCUGGUGUAGCGGUGAAAUGCGUAGAGAUCAGAGGA
rnacentral:rRNA from 1 species